AAUUCUGAUGUAGUUUUUACUUAAAAUAUUUUUUAAAUUGUUUUCACUUUGAAAAGUUUUCAAACUUUCAGUACUUUGAAAAUGUUCUGCAGAUGUUUAACCGUAGAGAUUUUUUGAAUUUGAUAAAAACUGCUAUAUAACGAGUAGUGGAAGCUGGUUUUAAAAAUUUGUUUCGACUUCGAAAAAAAUUCAAAUCGUUUACAUUUACAAAAAUGCUGCAGUUGGUAAUUAAAAGAUUUUCAAACUGAUUUUGACUUAAAAAAUUUGAAUAUUUUUCGUACCUAUGAAGUUGCUUAAAAAUUUUUUAAGAUAGAAAAAAGGGUAGAGUAGCAGAAGUUUGGGGUUAGAAAAAUUUUCUACUUAAUUGGAUUUGUUUUGUAUUUAGAGUUAUUCCUAAAUUCUUUGAACAUAAAGAAUUAUUUUAAUUGGGAAAAAUGGGUAUUUAAGAAGUCACAGGAGUAUUUGUUUUUUUCAAAUUGUUUUCACUUUGAAAAAUUUUCCAAUUAUUUGUACUAUGAAAAAUUCUCAAUCUGUUUGUUUCAAAAAUAUUCUGAAAUUGUUUGAAUGUAGAGAACUUCAGUUGAAAAAAAGGGUUUAUAAAGAGUUACAAAAGUUAGAAAUCGGAAAAAGUUUCAACUUGUUCGUACUUAGGAAAAAUUUUAAAUUUGAGUGUACUUUUAAAAAGUUUAAUUUUUUGAACUUAGAAAUAUUUUAAAUUUGUUUAAACACAUGAAAUUUUGAAGUCUGAAAAAUGAGAUAUAUAUAUAAACAGUAGAAGGUGCUGGGAGCAGUUCAAGAAUUUUUAUUGACCAAAGACCUGCUCCUGAUUAAAUAUCUCAUUUUUCAAAUUAAGAUUAAAGAUUAAAAAUGCAAAGAAAACUUUUAGAACCUGUGCUUGUAUACUGUUCAAAGUCAUGGGCUACAUCAAAAUUGUCUGAUUAUCUCCAUUGAUUUAUCAUUUUUGUUUUGUGCAUAGAUACUGCUUUUGUGUGUUGUAUUUUUCAGAAUUUACUGUCUUCAUGAUAUCCUGCUGAUGGACACUUUUCGAGAAGCUAAAACUUCAUCAGAUCUUUUUUAUGAUAAAGCCUAGGACGUGUCUAUGGAAAACGGAACGAUUUGAAGAUAUUAAUGACGAAAUACUCAAUCGCAUUCUUGCUGGCCUAAUAGCAUCUCAAAGCAGAAUGGUCAUCUUAUUGUGAUCCUUUUGGCUCCAAAAUUCUC